rnacentral:rRNA from 1 species
GACGAACGCUGGCGGCGUGCUUAACACAUGCAAGUCGAACGGAAAGGCCCUGCUUUUGUGGGGUGCUCGAGUGGCGAACGGGUGAGUAACACGUGAGUAACCUGCCCUUGACUUUGGGAUAACUUCAGGAAACUGGGGCUAAUACCGGAUAGGAGCUCCUGCUGCAUGGUGGGGGUUGGAAAGUUUCGGCGGUUGGGGAUGGACUCGCGGCUUAUCAGCUUGUUGGUGGGGUAGUGGCUUACCAAGGCUUUGACGGGUAGCCGGCCUGAGAGGGUGACCGGCCACAUUAGGACUGAGGUACGGCCCAGACUCCUACGGGAGGCAGCAGUGGGGAAUAUUGCACAAUGGGCGGAAGCCUGGGACAGCAGCGCCGCGUGCGGGAUGACGGCCUUCGGGUUGUAAACCGCUUUCGCCUGUGACGAAGCGUGAGUGACGGUAAUGGGUAAAGAAGCACCGGCUAACUACGUG